CUUUGCGAACUGCUCAGUAACACGUGGAUAACCUGCCCUAUGCUCUGGAAUAACCUCGGGAAACUGAGAAUAAUACCGGAUAGAUCACAACGCCUGGAACGGUGUGUGGUUGAAAGAUUACGGCAUAGGAUGGGUCUGCGGCGUAUCAGGUUGUAGGGGGUGUAACGGACCUCCUAGCCAUCGACGCGUACGGGUGUUGGGAGACAUAGCCCGGAGAUGGAUUCUGAGACACGAAUCCAGACCCUACGGGGUGCAGCAGGCGCGAAAACUUCACACUGCAGGAAACUGUGAUGAGGGAACUCCAAGUGCGUGCACUUAGUGUGCGCUUUUCUUGACUAUUAAUCGGUCAUGGAAUAAGGGCUGGGAAAGACCGGUGCCAGCCGCCGCGGUAAUACCGGCAGCUCAAGUGGUCGUCGCUUUUAUUGGGCCUAAAACGUCCGUAGCCUGUUUGGUAAAUCUGUGGGUAAAUCAACCAGCUUAACUGGUUGAAUUCUGCAGAGACUGCCAGACUAGGGACCGGGAGAGGUGUGGGGUACUCUAGGGGUAGGGGUAAAAUCCUGUCAUCCUUAGAGGACCACCAGUUGCGAAGGCGCCACACUGGAACGGAUUCGACGGUCAGGGACGAAGCCUAGGGGCACGAACCGGAUUAGAUACCCGGGUAGUCCUAGGUGUAAACGCUGUGAACUUGGUGUCGGGGAUCCGUCAUGGGUCCCCGGUGCCGGAGUGAAGAUGUUAAGUUCACUGCCUGGGGAGUACGGUCGCAAGGCUGAAACUUAAAGGAAUUGGCGGGGGAGCACUGCAACGGGA
rnacentral:rRNA from 1 species